rnacentral:rRNA from 1 species
GACGCCCUUAAUCUAGCCCUAACCUCUACAUUACAAACCUUACCUCCCCCCCCCCAUUAAAACAUUCUUAAUCUUAAGUAGAUGCGAUUAAAAAAGAACUAGGAGCUUUAUCAACAGUACCGCAAGGGAAAGAUGAAAUAGAAAUUAAAUAAAUACUCAAGCAUUAAAUAGCAGAGACUACAACUCGUACCUUUUGCAUUAUGGUCUAACUAGUUUAACCAGGCAAAAAGAUUUUUAGUUUGGCUCCCCGAAACUAAGUGAGCUACUCCGAGGCAACCUUAGAGUAAACCCGUCUCUGUAGCAAAAGAGUGGGACGACCCCCGAGUAGAGGUGAUAUACGUAUCGAACUUAGUGAUAGCUGGUUACUCAAGAAAUGAAUUUAAGUUCAAUCUUAAGAGCCCUUUAACUUACACCCUAAUUGCAAGUAAGCCCAACCUCCUAAGACCUAUUCAAUAAGGGUACAGCCUUAUUGAAAAAGGAUACAACCUAAAACUCAGGUUAACAUUUCUCUAGACCUAGGAUAAGUUGGCCUAAAAGCAGCCACCUUUUAAAUAGCGUCAAAGCUUUCCCUACCGUCUUCUACAAUUUCUUUCUCGUUACAGAACCCGAUAUCAAUAUUGAGUCUUUCUAUACCCCUAUAGAAGUGAUUAUGUUAGAACUAGUAACACAGAACUACCUCUCUCUAUGUAAGUGUAAAUCAGAUCGAAUAAGUCACUGAUAAUUACUCAGAAAUGAAAUUAUUGUAAUAACCUCACUAGAAAACCCUACAACUUCAUCCUGUUGACCUUACACAAGAACAUUCGAGAAAGAUUAAAAGACAAGGAAGGAAUUCGGCAAAUUUAAGUCUCGCCUGUUUACCAAAAACAUCGCCUUUUGCUCAUUAUAUGAGGUAAUGCCUGCCCAGUGACCAUGUGUUCAACGGCCGCGGUAUUCUGACCGCGCGAAGGUAGCGUAAUCACUUGUCUUCUAAAUAAAGACUAGUAUGAACGGCCACACGAGGACUUAACUGUCUCCCCUGUCCAAUCAGUGAAACUGAUCUCCUCGUGCAGAAGCGAGGAUAGACCCAUAAGACGAGAAGACCCUAUGGAGCUUUAAACUUAAUAUCAAAUACCCCUUUAUCCCCCUCCAAGGAAGUAACAAGACCCCUGAGCUUGAUAUAAGUUUUAGGUUGGGGCGACCAUGGAGAAAAAACUAACCUCCCUGAUGAUUUCUAACUAAGAGCUACAGCUCUAAGUAUUAAGACCCUUAACUCCCAUUGACCCAUUUUAUGAUCAACGAACCAAGUUACCCUAGGGAUAACAGCGCAAUCCAUUUCAAGAGUCCCUAUCGACAAAUGGGUUUACGACCUCGAUGUUGGAUCAGGGCAUCCUAG